rnacentral:rRNA from 1 species
UACGGGGGGGGUAAGCGUUGUUCGGAAUUACUGGGCGUAAAGGGCUCGUAGGCGGCCAACUAAGUCAGACGUGAAAUCCCUCGGCUUAACCGGGGAACUGCGUCUGAUACUGGAUGGCUCGAGUUUGGGAGAGGGAUGCGGAAUUCCAGGUGUAGCGGUGAAAUGCGUAGAUAUCUGGAGGAACACCGGUGGCGAAGGCAGGUCUCUGGGCCACUACUGACGCUGAGAAGCGAGAGCAUGGGGAGCGAACAGG